UACGUAGGGACCAAGCGUUGUUCGGAAUUACUGGGCGUAAAGCGCACGUAGGCGGCUUUGUAAGUUAGAGGUGAAAGCCCGGGGCUCAACCCCGGAAUUGCCUUUAAGACUGCAUCGCUAGAAUCCAGGAGAGGUGAGUGGAAUUCCGAGUGUAGAGGUGAAAUUCGUAGAUAUUCGGAAGAACACCAGUGGCGAAGGCGGCUCACUGGACUGGUAUUGACGCUGAGGUGCGAAAGCGUGGGGAGCAAACAGG
rnacentral:misc_RNA from 1 species